CUAAUAUUACAGAAUAGGUUCAUAUUUUGUAAUGGCAUGUGCAGGCAACCUAUCAACUUCAUCUUAUAUAAUAAUCAUAUAUAGUUUAUUUUUAUAGGUAUCAACGCCAUGCAGGAAACCAGCUGGUUGCCCAGAGCAGGAUGAGUCUUUAGUGACCCUACCAUGGACUGCCACUUCAUCUUGGGACCCAGUUGAAGAGGAACUCACACAGAGGGAGGUGGCUCAGACAUGGAGAUCAAAAUGAGAGCAACUUUUCCUGUCAACCCUCGGGGGUUGUACUGGAGGUGAUGCCAUCCGCCGCAUGCUGCGGCAAGUUGCAACAAAUGAUGUCCUGAGACAGUACAGCUUGCGGGGAAGAAA